rnacentral:rRNA from 1 species
GAUGAACGCUGGCGGCGUGCCUAAUACAUGCAAGUCGAACGAAACUUCUUUAUCACCGAGUGCUUGCACUCACCGAUAAAGAGUUGAGUGGCGAACGGGUGAGUAACACGUGGGCAACCUGCCCAAAAGAGGGGGAUAACACUUGGAAACAGGUGCUAGUACCGCAUAACCAUAGUUACCGCAUGGUAACUAUGUAAAAGGUGGCUAUACUACCGCUUUUGGAUGGGCCCGCGGCGCAUUAGCUAGUUGGUAGGGUAAAGGCUUACCAAGGCAAUGAUGCGUAGCCGAAUUGAGAGGUUGAUCGGCCACAUUGGGACUGAGACACGGCCCAAACUCCUACGGGAGGCAGCAGUAGGGAAUCUUCCACAAUGGGCGAAAGCCUGAUGGAGCAACACCGCGUGGGUGAAGAAGGUCUUCGGAUCGUAAAACCCUGUUGUUAGAGAAGAAAGUGCGUGAGAGUAACUGUUCACGUUUCGACGGUAUCUAACCAGAAAGCCACGGCUAACUACGUG